rnacentral:tRNA from 1 species
CAAAAUAUAGCUUAACUAAAGUGCCUCGCUUACACCGAGCCCAUGCCUACUAACACCGGGCUAUUUUGAG